rnacentral:rRNA from 1 species
GAGUGAAGCGGCAACAGCUCAAAUUUGAAAUCUGGCCUUCGGGUCCGAGUUGUAAUUUGCAGAGGAUGCUUUUGACGAGGUGGCGACCGAGUGCCCUGGAACGGGCCGCCGUAGAGGGUGAGAGCCCCGUAUGGUCGCACUGCCGAGUCUCUGUAAAGCUCCUUCAACGAGUCGAGUAGUUUGGGAAUGCUGCUCUAAAUGGGAGGUGUAUGUCUUCUAAAGCUAAAUACCGGCCAGUGACCGAUAGCGCACAAGUAGAGUGAUCGAAAGGUGAAAAGAACUUUGAAAAGAGAGUUAAAAAGUACGUGAAAUUGUCAAAAGGGAAGCAUUUAUGACCAGACUUGGGCGUGGUUGAUCAUCCGGCGUUCUCGCCGGUGCACUCUGCCCGCCUAGGCCAGCAUCAGUUCGCCUCGGGGGAGAAAGGCUUCGGGAAUGUAGCUCCUUCGGGAGUGUUAUAGCCCGUUGCGUAAUGCCCUGGGGUGGACUGAGGUCCGCGCUCGCGCUUGGAUGUUGGCAUAAUGGUCAUCAAUGACCCGUCUUGAAACACGGACCAAGGAGUCGUCUUCGUAUGCGAGUGUUCGGGUGUCAAACCCCUACGCGAAAUGAAAGUGAACGCAGGUGGGAGCUUCGGCGCACCACCGACCGAUCCUGAUGUUCUCGGAUGGAUUUGAGUAAGAGCAUACGGGGCCGGACCCGAAAGAAGGUGAACUAUGCCUGUGUAGGGUGAAGCCAGAGGAAACUCUGGUGGAGGCUCGCAGCGGUUCUGACGUGCAAAUCGAUUCGUCAAACAAUGGGCAAU